CCUACGGGUGGCAGCAGUGGGGAAUAUUGGACAAUGGGGGCAACCCUGAUCCAGCCAUGCCGCGUGUGUGAAGAAGGCCCUCGGGUUGUAAAGCACUUUCAGUGAGGAAGAACGCCUGGUGGUUAAUACCCAUCAGGAAAGACAUCACUCACAGAAGAAGCACCGGCUAACUCCGUGCCAGCAGCCGCGGUAAUACGGAGGGUGCGAGCGUUAAUCGGAAUUACUGGGCGUAAAGCGCGCGUAGGUGGCUUGAUAAGCCGGUUGUGAAAGCCCCGGGCUCAACCUGGGAACGGCAUCCGGAACUGUCAAGCUAGAGUGCAGGAGAGGAAGGUAGAAUUCCCGGUGUAGCGGUGAAAUGCGUAGAGAUCGGGAGGAUUACCAGUGGCGAAGGCGGCCUUCUGGACUGACACUGACACUGAGGUGCGAAAUCGUGGGUAGCAAACAGGAUUAGAUACCCCAGUAGUC
rnacentral:rRNA from 1 species